CAAAAUGAUGCUGCAAGCAGUUGGGUAUCUCACAGCUCCAGGCACCCAGCUUCGAUUGUGACUUCUGUUGCAGAGUGGAGCUUGUGUAUUUUCCAUGAAUGGGACCCGCUCCCAGGUUUCAUAACCGGCCAUUAUUGUUCGGCACACCGGGAGCUCGGCCUGAAAGUCCGGCUCAGCGUUGGAAGCCUAGGAUCUCGGGGCUCUGGGGAUGGGCGAAUCAAAGGUCAUUUAAGAAAAUCACGAAGAGGAAGGGUCCCAGAACAGAUUCCUGCGGAACACCGCUGGUCAUCGACCUUCAUGCAGAAUUGUCUACUACCACUCUUUGCUGUCUGUGGGCAAGCCAAUUCUGGAUCCUUGGAUCCCAUGCCUCCUUACUGUCUGAAUGAGCCUUGUAUGGGGAACCUUAUCAAAUGCCUUUCUGAAAUCCAUAUAUACUACAUCCACUGCUCUACCUUCAUCAAUCUGUUUUGUUACAUCCUCAAAGAAUUCAUUCAGGCUCGUAAGGCAUGACCUGCCCUUGACAAAGCCAUGCUGACUAUCCCUAAUCAGAUUAAGUCUCUCCAAACGCUCAUAAAUCCUGCCUCACAGGAUCUUCUCCAACAACUUGCUAAGAUUCACUGGUCUAUAAUUUCCUGGGUUAUCUCUACUCCCUUCUUGAACAAGGGAACAACAUUUGCAACCCUCCAAUCCUCUGGAACUUCUCCCGUCCCUAUUCAUAAUGCAUAGAUCAUGCCAGAGGCUCAGCAAUCUCCUCCCUUGCUUCAUGCAGUAGCCCGGGGUAUAUCUUGUCCAGUCCCUGUGACUUAUCUAACUUAAUGCUUUUCAAAAUCUCCAGCACACGUUGAGAAAACAGGGAAGCAGCAGAAAGGCUUAGACAGAUUGGAAAAAUGAGCAAAGAAGUGCCAGAUGGAAUACAGUGUAGGAAAUUGCAUGGACAUACAUCUUGGUAGAAGGAAUAAAAGCAUAGACUAUUUUGUAAAUGGGGAGAAAAUUCAAAAUCAGAGUUUCAGAGUUACUUGGGAAUCCUUGUGCAGUGUGGUAAGGGAAGGAAAUGCAAUGUUAGGAUUUAUCCUGAGAGGACUAGAAUAUAAGAGAUAGAUAGAGUAGUUAAGGAGGAAAUGUUUUCUAUAGUGAGUGAAUCUAGAACAGAGGGCACAGCCUUAGAAUAGAUGGAUGCCCAUUUAGAACGGAGAUGAGGAAGAAUCUCUUUAGCCAGAGGGUAGUGAAUCUGUGGAAUUCAUUGCCAGAGGUGUCUGUGGAGGCCGAUUCAUUUAGUAUAUUUAAGUGGAGGUUGCUAGUUUCUUGAUUAGUCAAGGCUUCAAAUGUCAGGUGGAGAAGGCAGGGAAUGAAUUGAAAGGAAUACUAAAUUAGCCAUGAUGAAAUGACAGAGUAGACUUGAUGGGCCAAGUGGCCUAAUUCUGCUCCUGUGUCUUACAGACAUAAAUAUGAGUCAUAGAACACAACCUCCAAGAGGACCACAAACUUGUUACCUGAAGAACAAUGUCGGCUGGAGUCAGGGCCUUGUGAUUUGACUUCUGGUAGAGUCACCCAUGCCAAACAGAUCAAAAGGUAGAGGCCAGACUAAGAGUGGUCCUCUGGUCCUCCAGGUUCAAGGGUUCUGCUUAGGGCUAACAACCCUGGCUGUUCAAAAAAAAAUUGUUGCGAAAAGAGCAAUGAAGAAUCCUAUAUCUGUGUGUGACAGUAUUCCUGAGUGUCCACCUGGGAUUUGCAUGUCGGACAGUUAUGAAAACCGCAAGGAAGCUACUGGCAUGUUGAAGAAAGCCCUGAACAUGACCAAGAUCAAGACCAAUAUUAGGUUUUGGGACUACACACUUGUUCAAGUAUAAUACACUAGUUUUAGAUGGGCUGGAUGGCCUACUCCUGCUCCUAUUUCUUAUGUUCUUAUGCUCUUAACCAUGUACAACACUGGCAAGCUAGCAGAAAUAUCUGCUGAAAUUUGUCAUUGCAACCUACAUAUACUGGGUGUCAAUGAAAGCAGGUGGACAGGGUCCGACAGGCUAAAGGCAGCAACUGGUGAAGCAGUUUUAUACUCAGAAACGGAAGCUGGUACAGUGUCUACACUAAGAUGAAGCUGUACCAGAGCUGUGUUCUGUUCGCAUUCUUGUAUGGGCCAGAACACUGGCACAUGACGGGAGAACAAACUUGCCAAGCUGUUGUCAUUCCACAGCAUGAGUUUUUGGAAGAGUCUUCAUAUUUUCUGGCCAAGGAAGAUCUCCAACCAGGCCCUACUCGUUCAGUGUCACCAAGAGGACAUGGCCACAAUCAUCAUGAGGAAACGUUGGAGAAGGAUUGGAUAUGUGAUGAGAAGAGAUGUCAACUCCAUCAUUGAGGCAGCACUUUCUUGGACCCUUGAACAUGGAGGAAACACGGGAGACCAAAGGCAACUUGGUGCCAUACUGUAGGGCUGAAAUGAGAGCCCUGAACCACAUGGGGCACAAUAUAGAAGAUGGCCAAGGACAGACAGAGGUGGAGGAUCUUCAUUGCUGCCCUAGACACAAGUGAUGUAACAGGCGGUAACUAACUGGAACACAAGGGUUACAUUUUCUUUCAAAAAUCUCACAAGCCAACCCCACUGAAAUGUCAGCAUUCCCUAAACUGUCUAUCUUUACCAUUCACAAGGCAGAACCAGUGAGUGAAUAUGAACACCACCAGCUGUAAAUUCCUUCAAUAUCAUAUCACAUCCUAACUUAAUAUACACGUGUCUUUUUUGGGUCAAAAAUAAUGAAGGCCCUUCCUUCAUUAUAUAGACUGUAUCUGUUUUCCCAAAAGCUAUAAGCAUAUCGACUUUGGCUUUGCCUUAGAUGCUGAUGACACAUGACGAAUUAAAUAAAUUCUAUGUUCCACUACAAUACCCAUCUUGCCUUCCCUUUGUAACUGAUUAACUCAGUCUGUUUGUUUGACCAUAAUUAUUGACUAUAAGACCAUCUGAGCUCAACAUUUGCUUAGAACAUAGCUCCUAAAAGAGUAAACAGGCCCUUUAUCCCACGAUGCUGUGCAGGACUAAUUAAACUAGUAAGAAAAUGCCCGACUGAACUAAUCCCUUCUGCCUAAGCAAUAUCCAUAUAUACCUCUAGACUUCUAGUCCUGAGGAAUGGUCUUCAUUUGAAACAUCGCCUGUCCAUUUCCUUCUGAGGAAGCUGCCUUGACCUGCUAAGUUCCUGUGGAAAAUCACGUGGAAAGUAAAUGAGUGUUGGGUGCACGAAUGUUGAAAUAGAUUGUGGCCCACCUCUGUGCUGGAAAGGAGGGGCUGCAGAUUCUGUACAAAACACAUACUGGUCUAUCAAAAGCUCCCUGUUGCAUGGAAGGUCCUUGUAUUUCAUUAUACACACCCUUCAGCCCUCAGUGUAGGAUGUCCUUAUUCAAUUCUUUGUAACAGAACUCAUUUGUGACCUCGCCCUCCUGGAAAAUCAGCAUCUGAAUUACUCUUUGCCCUUCCCCAGGCUCCAGAAUCACUAGGCACAGAUCUCGCCUCCAAGCUGAUAUUAGAGUAAAGAGAGGAUCCAAUGAGUCGAAACAUUGAAUUUUUUGAAGGGCACCUUUUUAUUAAUUACUUGGUACUGUCCCACUGUCUGAACCAAGUGGAAAUUACACCAUACAACUUGUGAACUCUGAGAGAUUGUCAAAAGAAGGGAUAAAGAGACAUGAUAAGGAAGAUUGGGUAUAAAUAUACAUAUAUUAACAAAGGGCUCAAGUUUUAUAUUCAUUGAAAGAAGAUUCAGUAAGAGCCACUAUUGUUUCUGAUGACAGGGUAAAAUAUUCCACCUUCUAUUGCAAAAGAGAGAGAGAAGUGUAUUCAAGGCCUGCAAAUUGUUUCUGUUAAUGUACUAGUACAAUUGAUUGGUUAACAGUAUUUGUAAGCUGGAAGUGUUUUGGAAUGGUGAUGAUUGUGUGAGGUCUCUUGCCUAUUUGUAUGUCAGGUUUCAGCCCUGUAUAAACUGAGUAAACCAUUCAUUUUGAUCAUGACUAAUUUGAUUUUAAUUUUCUUGUGAAUCUCCAUAAUCCUUGAUUUUCCCUUUGGUGCAAUAUCUUCCCAAGCAUGUGUUGGAGGGAUAUCUAUGAGGUUAGUGAUGAAGUUGAUUGAAAGUGAGGAAAAGUUUGUGAUGUAUUUUCUGACGUUGAGCCAGUCUGAGAGAUCAUUGAGCUUCUCUGGCAAUAUGUCCAUAUCCUUGGCUACUCAUAUUGAUUGUACAAACUGUUUGUUCCCAGUCCAUUUGGAUACACAUUAAGAAGCUUUCUUGUUUCCUUUGUCUAGAGAACACCCUUUCUAUCUCUCUCCUCAUUUAGCAGAUUUCUAUAUCCACGUACAAAAUCAAGGUGCCUAUUCUUACCCUUGCCAUCUCUUCCUUCAAGCUUCUAUAGCACCAAGAAAGUAUUUCAUACUGGUCUCAGCCGUAAUCUUAUCUCAUUUAAGAAGUACAGACACAGCUGAGAUAUGCAAUAAGGCAGGAAACAACAUGGUUGGCAGAGGCUGGUCACUGAAGUCUUCAUAAUGUAAGUGCAGCAUGAACUCUUGAUUUGGAUCAAAUAAAUAUUGAUUGAUCACGUAUUGCAAUCCUUGCAUCUAUUUUCUGGCCUCCAUGUAACUUCAUAUCUGUGAAUCCAGAAGAUUUGGAAAAAACCUGCAGAGGACUGCAAACACAGCCAGCUCCAUCAUGGGCGAUAGCUUUCUCACCGUCGAGGACAUCCUCAAAAAGUGAUGCCUCGAGAAGCAGCAUCCAUCAUGAAGGAUGACCACCAUCGGGGACAUGCCUCCUUCUCAUUAUUACCAUCAAGGUUAAUGUACAGGAG